rnacentral:misc_RNA from 1 species
CCCAUGCCAGCGAAAAUUUUAUCAGCAAGGCCAACUCUAUCAGUCAGCUCAGCAACCUUAGCUGCUCAGUUGCAGUAACUUGAUGAGAUUCACCAUGCACUUUUGCCUUGCUUACUGCUUUUCCCGACACAUAUCCCGUGGCCAGCAUAGCUUUGAUCAGUUACUGCUCCUCCAGCACUAGGAACAUACCUUCUUUGUGAGGGCUGUUUUGGGUCAGAGGAAAGACAAACUGAAAAUAAUCUGAG